GUUAAUAAUCCCAUUAUUCCCUUUGAUCGCUUUGGGUGAAGGGAGUCAGACUCAGACGAGCUGCUGUGGUCCCAAAUGACACAUGCGCAGUGAAGGCAGGGCGGACUAAUUUUUAAGGGGCGGGGGCGUUCGGUUGGUGGCACCGGAGCCAGCUAACCUUGCGGCCUGUGUGGGACUACUUCUUCUGCGUAGGUGCCAAAUUACAACUCAUAACUCACAAAUCUGUACAUACACUAUCACCAGAAGUUUAUAUAUGUAUUUAUAUGUGCAUAAACAUCUUUACACGUCAAAUAUAUAUACAGGUGAGUGUCUUUUCUUGCAAGGGUUUGUCCAGUAGGAGUUAAAUCUGUAAUUGCGGAAAACACAUGUCCCCACUGAUAUUUCGCAGAACAACCUUUUGAGCAGUGUAUCAGCAAGACUGGGGCCUUCAACUAAAGUUAGCUCCCUGAUUGGCCCGUAUUGACAAUUCAGUCAAAGGUCAGUAGUGGCAAACCAGUGCUUUGGUCUGACUCAGGCUUCUCCUCCUCUUGCGAUAUCACCUCCUAGUGGGUGUACAUCAGAUUAAACCUCUAAACUCUGUGCAAAUACUCGCAGACAGUUUUGAGUCAAAUCUGAAAGUUCAUUGUCUGCAAAUGUGUUUACAGCCUAUUUUCUUAUCUGAGUUCUGUUUUUCUUUUUUUUUCUUUUAUCCUCUUGUUUGUUGUUUCAGCGGUAAGAUGUAGGAAAUGGCAUAUUUCUUGUAAGAUGUUUUGACUGAAGAAUGUUGAGGGUUUGGUUUCCCUCUAUUUACUCAGUGUUGGCAGUUGAGAUGACAUCAGUCCAUUCCAGACACAUUCAAAGUUCAAUGCUGCAUUUUCAGCUGCCAUUCCAGGUUUCGGCUGCGAUUUGGGAGUAAAGACUUAUUUGGAAAAUGUCCAAAUUGUCUCAGAACAACCAUUGCAAGGCAGAGUUUUGAAUUCUCUCCCCCACUUCUGUAAGUCUGGAUUAUUUUUUGGAAAAAUCCUCCCUGCAGCCACAAAAACCUCAAAUUCUUGUCAUUAAAAAAAAGUAUAUAAUAUUUUACUUUAAAUAUUGUAAAUAUUUCUAAAGGAAAAUCCAUGUUUAGAGAAUUUAAUGUCUGGUCUGUUAAACUGGGCACCUGUUUAUUAAAGAUAUUAAAUAUGAUUUUCUCUGUGU